UACGUAGGGGGCUAGCGUUGUCCGGAAUCACUGGGCGUAAAGGGCGUGUAGGCGGUCAAGUAAGUGGAAUGUGAAAUCCCUCGGCUUACCCGAGGACCGGCAUCCCAUACUGCUUGGCUUGAGUUCGGGAGAGGAUGUGGGAAUUCCUGGUGUAGCGGUGAAAUGCGUAGAUAUCAGGAGGAACACCGGUGGCGAAGGCGCACAUCUGGCCCGAUACUGACGCUGACAGCGCGAAAGCUAGGGGAGCAAACGGG
rnacentral:rRNA from 1 species